rnacentral:rRNA from 1 species
UACGUAGGGUCCGAGCGUUGUCCGGAAUUAUUGGGCGUAAAGAGCUCGUAGGCGGUCUGUCGCGUCGGCUGUGAAAACUCGGGGCUCAACCCCGAGCCUGCAGUCGAUACGGGCAGACUAGAGUUCGGUAGGGGAGACUGGAAUUCCUGGUGUAGCGGUGAAAUGCGCAGAUAUCAGGAGGAACACCGAUGGCGAAGGCAGGUCUCUGGGCCACUACUGACGCUGAGAAGCGAAAGCAUGGGGAGCGAACAGG